rnacentral:rRNA from 1 species
UACGUAGGUGGCAAGCGUUAUCCGGAAUUAUUGGGCGUAAAGCGCGCGCAGGUGGUUUCUUAAGUCUGAUGUGAAAGCUCACGGCUCAACCGUGGAGGGUCAUUGGAAACUGGGAGACUUGAGUGCAGAAGAGGAAAGUGGAAUUCCAUGUGUAGCGGUGAAAUGCGUAGAGAUAUGGAGGAACACCAGUGGCGAAGGCGACUUUCUGGUCUGUAACUGACACUGAGGCGCGAAAGCGUGGGGAGCAAACAGG